rnacentral:tRNA from 1 species
AGCCCCGUGGUGUAGCGGCCAAGCAUGCUGGCCUUUGGAGCCAGCGACGGGAGUUCAAAUCUCCUCGGGGCUA